CUUGAACUCACUGACAUCUCUUCAUACUGUUUAUGAUGAACCGAGUUCUUGUGCUCACCCUGGUAAUAGCAGUUUGGAAAUGUUCCUUUGCCCAGCGUCACCUGACUCAGCCUUCCACGAUGUCAGUAACUCAUGGUGAGACUGUUAAACUCUCUUGUACCAUCAGUGAGGGCAGCUUAUACAAUACUUUCUGGUACCAGCAGAAACCUGGAUCAGCUCCACGAUUCCUUGUAUACUAUUAUUCUGAUUCUGAUAAAAGCAAAGGUGAAGGUGUCCCUGACCGUUUUUCUGCAACUAAGGAUUCUGCUAAAACAACUGCCAUUUUAACUAUUUCUGGGGUGCUGAUAGAGGAUGAAGCUGAUUAUUACUGUGCUAACUGGCACAGCAGUGACCAACACACAGUGACAGAAUCACAGAGGGAACUAAAACAAAAACCUUCCCCAUCACUGAGUCUGUGCAAACACAUGUAA